rnacentral:lncRNA from 1 species
UAAAUUCAAACUUUGUUCAUAUAUAUAAAUACUUGCGGUCAAGAAGAUUGUUCAACGCCUUAGGUAAAGUUUUCUCUCCAUUUUCUUUAUCGUUCCUCUUCUUUUCGUUUUAUCAUUAUGGGUAAAAAAAACUCACCAGAUCAAAAUCUAGGGUUGAGGGACCUGUGUUAGAAAAUUUCACUGACUUAGGUAUAUUGCCUCGAGAUGAAAGUGAAAGUUGUGCUUUCUUGAACUCUGAUAUCAAGUUACUUCGAUCAUACGAAAAUUUUCCUUUUGACAGUCUUAAGGGAUUUCGACACUAGGUUGAAGCCUGGUUUCAUAUCUCUUUAUUUGGGUUUGUUUUUAUGAUUUUCCGUUUUCUAUUUGGAUUUCAUUCCCCUUUCUUCCUUUGAUUUCUAUGUUUUUUGAGGUUCCCCAAUUUUCUUGUGCCCAAAUCAUGCCCAUGGUUUGACAUAUUUUGUUCUGGGUUGUCUUCCUUAAUGAAUCUGAAAACCUAGAUCUUGGUUUGUCCGGGAUUGCUAGUAUCUAUGACUUCCACAACUUUGGUUCUUAUCGUAUUAUCUUCAAGAUCAAACCUGGAAAAAUCCAUUUGAUCCUUAAGACUUCCUUUCACGAUGUCGGAUGGAAGAGAAAGUAUUUUUUUCAUCAACAAACAGUCUCUUGCAGGUUUCUUGCUAAGUGAUUGGGUUACUACGGGUAAGAUUCUUAUUUCUACAGUUUAUUGUAUUAUUUUUAUUUAAAAGUCGACUCUUGUUUUUUGAUUUAUCUUGAAUAGUACCGCAGUUUGAGAAACUAUUUCCUCCCAAGGAAGACACUAAGGAAAAAGGUUAAAAGUUUAAUGGCAAUUCUUGCAGAGAAUAGGGUUUUCAAAGUCAUCUUGGAGUGUUCUUAGGAUAAGGAUCUUAACAUAUCUUUGGUUAUUAGAGAUCUAGAGCCCAUCAACAGUCUACUGGUAUGUUAACUUGUUCCUUUCUUACUUUUUGAUUUGUUUUUGAUGUAAUUUUCUUCUUCUUCAGGUUUCAUGCUUACUUGACCAGGUUUGUCAUUCUCUUAUUUCAAUGUCGAGGGCUUUCUUUCUAGAGGGAAAGCCUACAAGUCCUAAUCCCAAGAAGAGGAAGCUUACUUUGGAACUUGGGCAAUAAGUUUUUGACGGUUUAGGCCCUUUUGAAAUUAAGUUGAAGUUAAUUACUCUUACUCAAACUAUAAGUUAUACUUAUCUUCAUUGUGUAAUGUCCCAAAAACCAUAAUAAAAUUUCUCAUUUUACUUUGUAUCAUAGUAUGUAUCCUUGUGUGUAGGAUGUUGAUAUGUUGUAGUAAUUUGUUAGAUUGGUAGAUCUAUUAUGAUUACCUGUAUUGUUGGUUAUUGUUUGUUUGUUUGUUUGUAUAUGUCGAC